rnacentral:misc_RNA from 1 species
GAUGAAGAACGCAGCGAAAUGCGAUAAGUAGUGUGAAUUGCAGAAUUCAGUGAAUCAUCGAAUCUUUGAACGCACAUUGCGCCCCUUGGUAUCCCGAGGGGCAUGCCUGUUCGAGCGUCAUUUCACCACUCAAGCCUGGCUUGGUGUUGGGCGACGUCCCCUUUAGUGACGCGCCUCGAAACGCUCGGCGGCGCGGCACCGGCUUUAAGCGUAGCAGAAUCUUUCGCUUUGGAAGUCGGGGCCCCGCCUGCCGGGAUACCUACUUGUAAGGUUGACCUCGGAUCAGGCAGGGAUACCCGCUGAACUUAAGCAUAUCAAUAAGCGGAGGA